GUGCCGAUGGUGUAGUGGUAGCACUGUCGUCCGAUAAGCGGCCUUUUGGUUGUACUACGAUAGCUCAGGUUUGAUUCCUGGUCGGCGCC